UGCAUGUCAUUGCAAUAAAUGCACCAUAAUUCAAAUGUAAUCAACACUCAAUUUUUUUUGCAGAAGAUCAACGACAAUGGAUUUGUUUAGGAUGAAGCAACCAAUAUAUGAACAAUGUGUGGAGGGUGGAUAAGUAAUUUCACCUUUACUUGCAAAAAUCUGAGUUUUAAAAAAGGUUUUUUCUUUCAUUUGCUAAUGAAUCAGCAUGCAACAAGUGUCCAAAAAAUUUUCAAACGUGAUAUGAACAAAAUAAUCGAAGUCUCUUUAGUUUCUUCUCUUGUUUGGCCUUUGUUCUAAGUGAAAAUCCUCUUAAAAUCGAGUGUAAGUUGAAUGUGAUAAUCAGCAAACUAUUGACGACGAUGACUAUUGUUGUUCCGACGAUUUGAAAUGUGAGUGUAGUGUUUGUAACCUAAAAUGAUGACAACGUAAGGGAUUCUAUUCUACUAGUUCUACCCAUGUCAAUAAGGACAACAUAACAGAUUUUGAUGGUGGUCUUUGCAGCAAACAACGAGGAAACGUAUAUAUACUAAGGGGUUGAAGAGUUUUUACGCAGUUGAGAUAAUGUUGAACGGAGUACCUGCCGAGGUGAAGUUUUUCUGAUAGAAUUAUGGAGCCCAGAAUAGCCACAAUGAUCAUGCAUAAAGGGUUGAAGGCUGUGACGAAAACUGGGCCUUUUGUCCUCAAAACAAGCCCUUGCACAUAUGUUUGGUGGUUAAUUACUGUAUAAAGGGGAGCUAAGAGCCUGGAGUCCCAGCCCACUGCCCAUCCACUGGCGCGACGCUCUACAGCAAGCGCUAUUGCUGCACUUUGCAAGGUGCCUGAUAAGCA